GAUGAACGCUGGCGGCGUGCCUAAUACAUGCAAGUCGAGCGAACAGACGAGGAGCUUGCUCCUCUGACGUUAGCGGCGGACGGGUGAGUAACACGUGGAUAACCUACCUAUAAGACUGGGAUAACUUCGGGAAACCGGAGCUAAUACCGGAUAAUAUAUUGAACCGCAUGGUUCAAUAGUGAAAGACGGUUUUGCUGUCACUUAUAGAUGGAUCCGCGCCGCAUUAGCUAGUUGGUAAGGUAACGGCUUACCAAGGCAACGAUGCGUAGCCGACCUGAGAGGGGGAUCGGCCACGCAGGAAAUGAGACACGGCCCAGACCCCUAGGGGAGGCAGCAGUAGGGAACUUUCCGAAAGGGGCGAAAGCCUGAAGGAGCAACGGCGGGGGAGUGAUGAAGGUCUUCGGAUCGGAAAACUCUGUUAUGGGGGAAAAAAAAAUGUGAAAGUAACUAUGCACGUUUUGACGGAACCUAAUCAAAAACCCACGGCAAACAACUG
rnacentral:rRNA from 1 species